AGCACCUGUAGAAUGCUGGUGUCUGCUCUCCAUGUGCUUUAGAAAUUAAACAAUUAUUUAUUCGUUGAGUGACAGUUGGUGUCACGAAUGGUGAAGGAUGUGGCAAAAGUUUCUUCAGCUUUCUACAUAAAGAAGUACGGGACCAGUGCCGGCGCAGGGACGAGGUCUUGGACGUUUACUGGUUCCCAAGCAUUUUCCUUUUGAACAAAUUUCAGAACAAAGAGGUUGGAACAAGAUGUUGGAGCAGCAUGUCCAUGAAGAACAUCCACAGGAAGUCAGCUGACAGCAAUUCACAUCUUUAUUUUCCAACUCAUAAUGACGCACCGAGCUACAGAUAUGAUGGGCUUUCAACUCCUUGACAUGAGCACCUCUACUGGAAUUCCUUUGCACAGUUCAAGGACACCAUUGCAACGGCACUGCGAAUGGAGAAGAAUGUCGGCGACGGCGAUGGAGAGGCAGCAGGAGAUGGAGGACACGGCGAGGAGGCUGGAGUCGGUGCGCAGUCAGAGGGCUUCAGCGAUUUGUCCGGCGAUUGGCUCCUGAGUUGCGAGUGGGUGAGUCGAGGACAGAAACAGGAAGCGGAGGGCAGUUUUUCAACACAUCGACUUCCUGCGUGAUGUCAAACACAGGCCCGGAUGUCUGCACCGCCGUGUCUGCUUCACUACUCUGUGUUGCAGUCGUCCUCUUCUGCAAAGGAGUUCCAGCGUUCUCUGGAUCACUGAAUACAUCCGAGGGAGGUUGAGCUUCCACCGGCAGGACAGCGAUGUCUCGCUCCUUCUCGCGGUCGACCAGGAUUUCCUGUUUUGCCUUCCUCCGCUGGAUGAUCCCUCGCUUCCAGGCUGGCAUGCUGGCAAACUUCUCCUCUUCUUCUUUUUCUCGCCUUCCUCGCUCCUCUUCCUCUCUUCUCUUUCUCUCCAACAGGAGUUGCUUCCAUUCCGGAAGAGAGGAGACAGACAUAACAAGAAGAGCGGCUGUUUUUUUUGUUUUUUGUUUUUUUUUCGCCGAAACGGGUGCGUGUCCUGGACUCUGUGACUGGGGUGCAGAAAGGAGAAGUUUAAUUCAAGCACUUGACUUCAUAAGGCCUCAGUUGAGUCUCCACGAGAGGGGAAGCUGCAGUACCCAGAAAAGACCCACGCAAGCAAGUCGGAACUGCGAUGUUGACGUGCGAACCAGCUGGGGGUUGGGCCUUUGACCCAGUACGGCUCCGUAAAGAGCUGCACCUUGCGGCUAAGAUGGUCGCAAACGAAAGCUAAAUCCUGUUUGUCCAGCGGGUGUGCCAGCGCCAGGUAGACUGACAACGUUAAUGCCAGCAGCAGCCUGUCCAGGGAUAAAGCCGGCAGGAGCCACAACACAACGCCUAGCUCCAGGCACACCGGAUGGCGGAAGUGAGAGAGGAAGCGUUGAGCUUGAGACGACUUGUAGGACAAGGGGUCCCCCAGGCCUAAACACUGUCAAACAUCAUGAGGAUGGUGCAGAUGAUGGCCCAGCAGAAGAAGUGCACCGUGAAACAGAGCAGAGGGAACCAGACACUCCAAGGUGCUUGGCGCACUGACCACAGACAGGGGGCGCCAGUUACAGGCUGCCAAGAAUGCAUCAGGAUCUAACCAGUGGAAAGAGGAGAACUUUGCAAAAUGACUACCAAGGCUCCCAGUUGUCAUCUGGCGUGUGCUGCGGUACCUGGAGAGUCAGUGCGGUGGUGAAGCAGUAUGUGGUUCUGUUCAGGGAGCCCAGGAUGGACUGACAGGCCUGUUUGACAGGUGGCCAUGCGAGCAGACUGUGUUGCAAGGUGAAGAGAGCCAGCAGAGUCACAUCCACGCCCAGAGACUUGAGGACAGAGCUGUCCCGUAGUGCCUCUGACCAUGGUAUGGAGUCUUGUAUGGUGAGUAAACGGAUUUAAAAAAAAAAGAAAAAGAUCAAACCUAAGCAUGUGGUCAAGCAGUUUAUGCACAAAAAAAACACGAGAGCAGCGCUGUAGCUAAACAAUAAAACAAAAGAAGAGUGUUUUGUUUAAGUGGAGCCUGAAA